GAAGGAUCCAUUUUGGUAUAAAAAUGGUGCUCUGAGCGGCUGUUAACACAUUUGAUUUGAAAGUUUCGUCGAAAAGAAAUCUAAUAACUGUAGCAGAAAAUUUGAACAACCUAAGGUUUAGAGAAAGCAAUGUAAAGCAUUUCUUUAAAAUGAUAACACAACUUAAAGAAAUCAAAAACUUUUCCAAUAUAACAUUAGCCAUAGCCAUGCUUACAUCAAUUACAGAUAACUUUUCAUUUUUCCAAAAACUGGUUAUGAUGUUGGAUGCCAUUUCUUUUAACAAUAAGUUGUAACUGCAUGAAUCCCAAUUAUAAGCACACUAAACUUCUAAGUGUAUUCUAAGUCAUACACCAUAUAUAUAACAAAUUUGUGAAGAAAAUUGAUUAAAAAUAAUUUAACUCAUCUGUACUCUGUAGGUCCUAUGUAUUGCACUAGGACUGAAGACAAACACUGCACUUGGACUGAAGACAAACACUGCACUUGGACUGAAGACAAACACUGCACUUGGACUGAAGACAAACACUGCACUUGGACUGAAGACAAACACUGCACUAGGACUGAAGACAAACACUGCACUAGGACUGAAGACAAACACUGCACUAGGACUGAAGACAAACACUGCACUAGGACUGAAGACAAACACUGCACUUGGACUGAAGACAAACACUACACGUAGACUAAAGACUUUAGACAUAAUAUCCAAGUUAAAUGGGACUAGGGACCACUGGAACUAGCUCCCUCAAAAACAGAUUCAUUAUUGACCUCUAUAUUGAUGUGUUAUGAUGAAAUCAUGCUUUUGAUAGUUGCAUUGAUAAAUAAUCGUGCAUUAAAACAUUGGAUUGACUUUGACCCAAGACUUAUUAUAGUUUCUCCAGAGUAUAAAUGAGUUUGCCAAUUUGAAGUGUUUAGAAGAAAAGUGUUUAGAAUUUUAAUAUUUACCAAUUUGUGAAAUUUGAUAGUAUGGCUAAUGGCUGG